AUUGAACGCUGGCGGUAUGCUUAACACAUGCAAGUCGAACGAUGAGAAAGAGCUUGCUCUUUCGAUUAGUGGCGGACGGGUGCGUAACGCGUAGGAAUCUACCUAUUAGUGGGGGACAACUUAGGGAAACUUAAGCUAAUACCGCAUACGCCCUACGGGGGAAAGAAGGGGAUCGCAAGACCUUUUGCUAAUAGAUGAGCCUGCGUAGGAUUAGCUAGUUGGUGGGGUAAAAGCUCACCAAGGCGACGAUCCUUAACUGGUUUGAGAGAAUGAUCAGUCACACUGGAACUGAGACACGGUCCAGACUCCUACGGGAGGCAGCAGUGGGGAAUAUUGGACGAUGGGCGAAAGCCUGAUCCAGCAAUACCGCGUGUGUGAAGAAGGCCUUAGGGUUGUAAAGCACUUUCAAUUGGAAGGAAAACCUCGAAGCUAAUACCUUCGAGUUUGACAUUACCUUUAGAAGAAGCACCGGCUAACUCCGUGCCAGCAGCCGCAGUAAUAC
rnacentral:rRNA from 1 species